rnacentral:rRNA from 1 species
ACGGAAUAGAUACCCUGGUAGUCCACGCCCUAAACGAUGUCUACUAGUUGUUGGUGGAGUAAAAUCCAUGAGUAAACGCAGCUAAACGCGUGAAGUAGACCGCCUGGGGAGUACGGUCGCAAGAUUAAAACUCAAAUGAAUUGACGGGGGCCCGCACAAGCGGUGGAUUAUGUGGAUCAAUUCGAUGCAACGCGAAAACCUUACCUGGCCUUGACAUGUAACGAACUUUCCAGAGAUGGAUUGGUGCUCGAAAGAGAACGUUAACACAGGUGCUGCAUGGCUGUCGUCAGCUCGUGUCGUGAGAUGUUGGGUUAAGUCCCGCAACGAGCGCAACCCUUGCCAUUAAUUGCCAUCAUUUAGUUGGGCACUUUAAUGGGACUGCCGGUGACAACCGGAGGAAGGUGGGGAUGACGUCAAGUCCUCAUGGCCCUUAUGGCCAGGGCUUCACAC